rnacentral:misc_RNA from 1 species
UGGGGUGCAGUUGGUGGUGGUGGUGGUGGCAGCGAUGGUGGUGGUGGCAGUGAUAGUGAUGGUGGUGGUGAAAGUAAUAGAAGUAACUAAACUAAUCAAGAUUGCAAGCAAAAUUUUGGAAGACUUAAGGUUGGUCUCACCUGGACAUGGGUCUUUGUUUUUCCCUUAGGGUCAGGCCUAAGCUCAAAGGAUUCAGGCAAAUUAGGCCCUGACGUAGUAGGAGUGUAGGACUCCAGGCCUUAUCCUGGCUUGGGCCCAUCCAUGCUUAUCCUUGUUUAGAGCUAUAUAUUGUAAUACAUUAAAAUGGCUACAUUUGAUAAUAAUUGGGUGAAUGGGUGGACAGGAGUUUAUUUGGGUUAAUUGAAUAUGGGUGCCCAUAUGCCAAGUGUGCUUAUAUCUGGCAUCUCUUGUUUGUACUUUUGUAAUUUGGUUCUGCUGGAUGGUUA